AGUAGUGUGGCCGAGUGGUCUAUGGCACCGGAUUAAGGCUCCAGUCUCUUUGGAGGCGUGGGUUCAAAUCCCACCACUGCCA